UUCUUCUUGGAGAGCUGGACUUGCUACAAUAACGGUAUAAAGUCACUGCAGUACGUGUAGAACUUUUCGAGGCUUCAAAGCGUCGUAAGACACACAAUGUCUUCUAAAAUCAUUUGAAUUAAAAGACGCAGCUCCUGACGACGGUUUAUACCGAAAGGCCUCAAACUUUCCCAAUCCCCUUCAAAACACACACACACACACUUGGAGCAGAAAGAGAAUGUAUCUAGAGUCGGGGCCAGGAGCUGUGCCUCGACCCCUGCAAUCACAUGUAGGAAGAGGCGACGACACUGCCCGCUUGUUAUGACCUUCAAUAUAUAUUGGACAUAAGGAGAAUAUUUGGAUAAUGUUACAAUAGUGGCCCUGCGUGACUGCCGUGUCUUCUUUGUAUUGGACUGAUGAAGUCACUGUGUGGCGAAACGUUUCCUCAAUAAAGAUUCCCAUAUGUUGCAUAAGUGUCUCAAUCUUCAAAUUGUCGGUUUUCAAAACCAUUCAUCACAACUGUCAGACACUGCAGCAUCAUGGGAUCUUCAUACAAAGAAUUCUUCAAAACUUGUCCAACCUUUGGACGAAGACCUACUUCGACUAGUGGAUGGUACCACUAUGACCCUGCCUCCUCCUGCUUCGCCUCACCUGACUACAGUAUAUAAGCCACGUCUACGGCCCUAUGUUGUGUGUAUUACUAUAAUUGGUUAUAAAUAACCAUUAUUUUUAAACGGGUGGACCGGUAAGCCAGCGGAAGGCCUCGGUCAGAUGACUAAAGCUCCAAAGGCGGGUCAUCAGCUAAGACCCGCGUCAGGAAACACUUGUCCUGUUUCCUGACGAACCUUACCUAACCUAACCCUGUGCUGUACAUUCUAUAAGACUGAUGGCCUGAACACAUCGACUCCAGGCUGAGGGACUGAUUACCUCAAACUCCUCCUCUCCUUUCACCUUUCUGCUUUGUAUUGGACUGAUGAAGCCACUCUGUGGCGAAACGUUUCCUCUAUAAAGAUUCCUAUAUGUUGCCUAAGGAUAGCAACUCUUAGCCUGUAAACUCAUUUAUAUAAAAAAAAAUUACUAACUAGCCAACCUACCAUCUCGGCGAUAGGAGACAUACACCAAGGAGGUGUAUAUCUCUUAUCGUAUACACUGAUAGUCUACUUUAACCCCUUUUAUAGUAGUUAAAGCAUUCUGAACUUGUGGUGUACUGGAGAAAUGCAGUUUUUGAUAAUACUCCCGCGGUCAAUAGGUUAUUAACCUGAUAAACCUAAUCCCUCAUUGGUGGAAAAGGGUUCAGAUUCUGCACUGUGCACGAUGUAAGAAGUGUCAGGUGUACUGUGCUGCUGUACAAAUGGCAUUGUACUCCUUUGGGCUAGAGUUGAGCAUCGCAUUGUAUUGGAACAAACAGAUGCGUUUUUUAAAAGACUAACCAUUUUUUUGCUGGAGGGAAGCACUCAGUCUGAGUAGUCUAUUGUGUUCUAAGGUCCACACGUAUAUAUUUUCUCUCUCUCUCUGCUACUCUCACCCCUCAAGGAAGGUUCCUUGAUGUUGGUGAGGGGCUCUUGAUUUAGGGAAUUGGAUCUGUGCUCCAGUUUCCCGAAUUAAGCCUGAAUGCCUUCCACAUCCCCCCCCCCAGGCGCUGUAUAAUCCUCUGGGUUUAGCGCUUCCCCCUUGAUUAUAAUAAUAAU